rnacentral:rRNA from 1 species
UACGUAGGUGGCAAGCGAUACUCGGAAUCACUAGGCGUAAAGCGCAGGUAGGCGGUUUGGUAAGUCUUUUGUGAAAGCUCCCGGCUCAACUGGGAGAGGUCAAAGGAAACUACCAGACUAGAGUUUGGUAGGGGAUACUGGAAUUCCUGGUGUAGCGGUGAAAUGCGUAGAUAUCAGGAGGAAUACCUAUGGCGAAAGCAGGUAUCUGGGCCACAACUGACGCUGAGCUGCGAGAGCUAGGGGAGCAAACAGG